rnacentral:rRNA from 1 species
ACAUCCAGAGAACUUAGCAGAGAUGCUUUGGUGCCUUCGGGACCUCUGAGACAGGUGCUGCAUGGCUGUCGUCAGCUCGUGUUGUGAAAUGUUGGGUUAAGUCCCGNAACGAGCGCAACCCUUAUCCUUUGUUGCCAGCGGCUCGGCCGGGAACUCAAAGGAGACUGCCGGUGAUAAACCGGAGGAAGGUGGGGAUGACGUCAAGUCAUCAUGGCCCUUACGGCCAGGGCUACACACGUGCUACAAUGGCGCAUACAAAGAGAAGCGACCUCGCGAGAGCAAGCGGACCUCAUAAAGUGCGUCGUAGUCCGGAUUGGAGUCUGCAACUCGACUCCAUGAAGUCGGAAUCGCUAGUAAUCGUAGAUCAGAAUGCUACGGUGAAUACGUUCCCGGGCCUUGUACACACCGCCCGUCACACCAUGGGAGUGGGUUGCAAAAGAAGUAGGUAGCUUAACCUCCGGGAGGGCGCUUACCACUUUGUGAUUCAUGACUGGGGUGAAGUCGUAACAAGGUAAGCGUAGACGU